AUUAUGGAGAGUUUGAUCCUGGCUCAGGACGAACGCUGGCGGCGUGCCUAAUACAUGCAAGUCGAGCGGAAUGAUGAAGAAGCUUGCUUCUUCUGAUUUUAGCGGCGGACGGGUGAGUAACACGUGGGCAACCUACCUUGUAGAUUGGGAUAACUCCGGGAAACCGGGGCUAAUACCAA
rnacentral:ncRNA from 1 species